rnacentral:lncRNA from 1 species
UAGGACUGAGAAAAAUUACCGCUUAUUUCAGACAGCCCGGACCAUCGCUUUUAUCGUCAACAGAGAGAGCCGCUCGAUAAAGGAAGUCGGCUUUGGGAAAAAAUCAUUCCUUUGCCGGGCGCUAGUCAAAGUAGUAAAAAAGGGCAAGUGGGCAAGUAGCGAGCAGGAGCAGUGUUGGGCUUUGUGGUCGUUAAUAUUCCUUUGCCGGGUGCUAGUCAAAGUAGUAAAAAAAGGCAAAUGGGCAAGUGGGCAAGUAGCGAGCAGGAGCAGUGUUGGGCUUUAUGGUUGUUAACGGGAACAAAUGAAGAGGAGCACAGCACCCUA